UACAGAGGGUGCAAACGUUGUUCGGAUUUACUGGGCGUAAAGCGCGUGUAGGCUGCUUCGCAAGUCGGAUGUGAAAGCCCUGGGCUCAACCCAGGAAGUGCAUUCGAAACUGCAGAGCUGGAGUCCUGGAGAGGAAGGCGGAAUUCUCGGUGUAGAGGUGAAAUUCGUAGAUAUCGAGAGGAACACCGGAGGCGAAGGCGGCUCACUGGGGGGAUUUUUUCUGACGCUGAGGAACGAAAGCCAGGGGAGCGAACGGGG
rnacentral:rRNA from 1 species